rnacentral:rRNA from 1 species
GGUUAAGCGACUAAGCGUACACGGUGGAUGCCCUGGCAGUCAGAGGCGAUGAAGGGCGUGCUAAUCUGCGAUAAGCGCCGGUAAGGUGAUAUGAACCGUUAUAACCGGCGAUACCCGAAUGGGGAAACCCAGUGUGAUUCGUCACACUAUCA